rnacentral:rRNA from 1 species
AGAGUUUGAUCAUGGCUCAGAGUGAACGCUGGCGGCAGGCCUAAUACAUGCAAGUCGAACGGCAGCACAGCAGAGCUUGCUCUGUGGGUGGCGAGUGGCGGACGGGUGAGGAAUACGUGGGAAUCUGCCCAGUCGUGGGGAUAACGUAGGGAACUUACGCUAAUACCGCAUGCGCCCUUCGGGGGAAAGCCGGGGACCUUCGGGCCUGGCGCGAUUGGAUGAGCCCACGUCGGAUUAGCUAGUUGGCGGGUAAAGGCCCACCAAGGCGACGAUCCGUAGCUGGUCUGAGAGGAUGAUCAGCCACACUGGAACUGAGACACGGUCCAGACUCCUACGGGAGGCAGCAGUAGGGAAUAUUGGACAAUGGGCGCAAGCCUGAUCCAGCCAUGCCGCGUGAGUGAAGAGGGCCCUCGGGUUGUAAAGCUCUUUUGUCCGGAAAGAAAAGCGCCGGGUUAAUACCCUGGUGUCCUGACGGUACCGGAAGAAUAAGCACCGGCUAACUUCGUG